UAUAAUCAGAUAAUCCUCUGUCUGGGUACUUGGGUGCCAAGUUACUUUCUUGCAGAAACAUUCUCAAGAGUUCCUUUAGAAAAUCUAGGAAAGUGUAAGUCUAAAGACAAGCUAUAGCCUGAAGCCCAGGCUGCUGACUUGAGCACAGAUGGGAGAAUGUUAACAGCCAAGAAAUAUGAGGUCUUUGGCUCCUUUCCCAGAACUGCCAGGCUAAGACCUUGGCAGAGACUCAACAGGAAACUGAACUCUAUUUGCAUAUCCUUUUAUACAUGGGAGAUUAAAAGCUUCAACCUUGAGUGAUCACAGUUUUUGAGAAUCAUGAUGAGGCAUUAAAGAGAAGGAGGAGUGUCUCGAGGGAGGUCAGCUGGAGGCAAAGCAAGGCUGCUAGCUCUACUUAGGAGGUGGAAGUUUCCCCAGCUCUCAGAUAGCUUCUUUCCAGCAUGUGAUUUGGCACAAUUCCUAGGAAAUGAGGACAACUGAUCAUAGAGUCAUAGAGGGUAAGAACUGGAAAGGACUUCAGGCUGUAUCAAUUCUGGCCUCUUUACCUUAUAUAAGUGAGCUUGGGGAAGGGAGGUAAGAAGUUCAAGUUCUCACAGGGUAGAACUAAGUUUUGAACACAGCUUCCAGUCUAGUGGGUUUCUUUCCCAAUGUGUAAUAACUCUUCACAUGCCACAGUUCAACACUUUAAUUUCUCUAAGACUUACUUGGGAUAACUCAGGAACAUGCCAGGACUGUGACCCUGUGGAAGGAGCUGACCAGUGCUGAGAAUAACAUUG